rnacentral:rRNA from 1 species
UACGUAGGGGGCAAGCGUUGUCCGGAUUUAUUGGGCGUAAAGAGCGUGUAGGCGGUUUUGGUAGGUCCGUUGUGAAAACUCGAGGCUCAACCUCGAGACGCCGGCGGAAACCAUCAGGCUAGAGUCCGGAAGAGGAGAGUGGAAUUCCUGGUGUAGCGGUGAAAUGCGCAGAUAUCAGGAAGAACACCCGUGGCUAAGGCGGCUCUCUAGUACGGUACUGACGCUGAGACGCGAAAGCGUGGGGAGCGAACAGG